AUCGAUGAUUUUUACUGGAGUUCAGUUGGAAUAUUUUGUCACUUGUUCGGGGUGAAUGUGGAAGAACUCUAUCACGAGGUCCGAUAAAAGUUACGGAAGAUCUUUAUUCUUCCUUGCGAACUAAGGACCUUCGGUGUAAUUUUUACGGAAUAUUACUCACCGUGUGGUAGAUAGUGAGGACUUUUGAAGGCGGUAUUGUAUUCAGAAAUGAUGAUGAAGACUUUGAUCAACUUUUCUUGUCCUUCUCUGGCUUUUAAACCAUCGGCCCUCGUUCCAACGACGACAAUAGGUUGAAUAUUCUCCGGAAAAACCUUCGCACUUGAGGAAAUACAGGAGUUCAUUUCUACUUCAGUCACAGGAUAAAAUCUAAAUCCGCUAGGCGAUAAUGGAGCAUCGGUUGUCGGUCAACUUUUGAGUAACUGCGGGUUCUAUUAUCCCACGGGCUUAGUGAUAACAAGCCAUGGAAGGUUGGGUGAUUAUGCUGUGAAAGCAUGAAUGCCGGGUGAAAAAAUGAAGAGGAAAAUGGUGAGAUGAAACUUUUUGAAGAGGAAAUCCCGCUGUAAAGAUAUUUUUAAUUCGUUAGCAGUAGUGAUUCGUUGUUAAAGCUUUGGGUUUCCUAAAAUUUCUCACGAUUAUUUUAAGAUAAAUUACAUGGUAAGUAAUUUUGGAUAAAAAUUAGACCUUCAAAGGACGAAACAUCGGACGAAGGCUUGUUUUAUCGCUAAAAAUAGACUCCGAAGUCUUAUCCGAUAGAAUUUGACUUAAAAAGAGCUUUCAAUGUCAUUUAGUCCGACGUUUCACCUUCUGGAGGUCUAAUAUUUUCUAUAAUUUCCCACGAAGCUGUUUACACCUGCUUAUUUUCUAAAAUCCAAAUGAUGGAUUAAAAAAAUUUCUACUUUUAAAAAUUACUAUUUUUUUGUUCUUGGAAAUGAAUUAAAAAAAAUUUUAAUAUUGUGGUACGCAACAGCUUAUUUGUAAAAAGCUGUUGCACUUGUUUAAUUAGGUCUGGAUGGAAUAACCAAGAGCUUGUAAUUCUUUCUUCAUUAUGUCGACUGCUUCCUGGGUGAGUUCCUGAAUUGGGGAACGAACUGGACCGGGAUUGAUUGGCGUCAGAAGAGUCAUUGCUGUUUUCAUGGUGACGACCCAAUUACCUGAGAAAGUACAAACGAAGGAAUGAGAGAAUUUAAUUCCCUAAUGAAUUAUACCUUCGUUGUAAUGCUCGCGGGGAGAAAAUGUUCAAUAAAUAUUACAUUGAAGUUCUGUAGUUCCCACGUGAAAACAAAGGUCCUAUAAAAUUCAGGGAAACCCGGAUAAAAAUUACGAAACGCUUCGUAAAUAAUUUGGCAUAAUUUUUAGAAGAAAUUACCAUGUUUCAUUAUCGCAGUGACUGCUUUAUUCAAUUUUUCUUGAGCUUCUCUGGCUUUCAACCCAUCACCGGCCAUCCCAGCAGCCAAAAUUUGUAACGCUUUCUCAGGGAAUAUGUUGACGCUCGUUGGAAUGAAAGAAUCGAGCCCCACAGCACAUCCAGCUGACAUUAUCUAUUCAUACAAAUUUAAAUGUUUUGAUUCAAUUUUUUUCGUCAGACAGUUCAUCGAUUUCCCUCACCGGAUAAAUUCAUUGAAGUAGUUGCAAUUGGUUCGAUUCUUCACCUGAUCACUUCCCAAGAAGACAACAAAUCUUCCUCCAUCAGCGUGUAAAGCCUGAGUUGCCUCGGCAAGAUUAGUGCUUGUAAAUUUAAUACC